UACGAAGGGGGCUAGCGUUGCUCGGAAUUACUGGGCGUAAAGGGCGCGUAGGCGGCACUGUUAGUCAGGCGUGAAAGUCCUGGGCUCAACCUGGGAACUGCGCUUGAUACGGCAGAGCUAGAGGAUGGAAGAGGCUCGCGGAAUUCCCAGUGUAGAGGUGAAAUUCGUAGAUAUUGGGAAGAACACCGGUGGCGAAGGCGGCGAGCUGGUCCAUUACUGACGCUGAGGCGCGAAAGCGUGGGGAGCGAACAGG
rnacentral:rRNA from 1 species